UACGUAGGGGGCAAGCGUUGUCCGGAUUUAUUGGGCGUAAAGCGCGCGUAGGCGGCGCGGUAUGUCGUGCGUGAAAUCUCCCGGCUUAACUGGGAGGGGCCGUGCGAAACUGCCGGGCUUGAGGUCGGAAGGGGAAAGUGGAAUUCCGGGUGUAGUGGUGGAAUACGUAGAUAUCCGGAGGAACACCAGCGGCGAAGGCGGCUUUCUGGUCCGAUACUGACGCUGAGGUGCGAAAGCGUGGGGGGCAAACAGG
rnacentral:rRNA from 1 species